rnacentral:tRNA from 1 species
AGAAAGAUAAGCUAAGUUAAGCUAAUAGGUUCAUACCCUAUGUAUGGUAUCCCCUCUUUUUAGUG